AGAUUGCCAGGGAGCCUGCACUGCCUUGUCCACCCAUUAGGGUCUCUCGCACUCAGGUUGCAGUUUUUGGCUAUCUGGAUGACAAAGAUCAUUUGCAUAAGUUUUCUUAACGAAGGACAGAGCACUGUGCCUCAGCGUGGAUCAGCAAAGAAAGUCUGAUGAUUCAACAUGUAGUCGGUUGCUCUCACGUUCACACCAAAGGUACCGAACUUAUAUGGAAGACCCUAAGUGGUAAGACCCAUGCCUACUGGAAAUGGAAUCUUCUGCUUCUGGGAACUUCUCUGCUCCACAAACAGUCACGCCCUGGAUCUGCAGACUGCCAUCAACACCUGCUCUCCUGCAGUGCCUGGUGCUCCAGAAACCCCAGGCUGCCCGUUGUGAGGCCAGGGAUGCGCAGCUUUCCCAGAGCCAGGCAUUUUACAUUGUUUGUAGUCUGCAUUUUGGAGUCAUUACUCAGUGGUACAAGAGAUGCAAUUGUCACUGCGGUUGGAAGCCAAUCAACGCGUUGUGAGUGGGAGCCCGCUGGUACUUUCCAAUGGUCCUUGAUUAAAAAGGAAGCUCUUGGCUAUCUUCAAGCAGCAGGAGAGGAAACAGCACGGAGAAGAUACUCAGAUGCAGCGGAAUUCAAGCAUGAAACUAAACAGCUUCUCAGAUAUUAUCUAUUCAGCCAUCUGCUUGACAGACAAUGGAUAACCUUCCAGAUUCAUGGAGCUGCAUCUGCCUUUUAAUCCAGUGGUAGUCUCCAUGGAAAUAAACAGGAGGCAUUACUUUUGGAGCAACCCAUGUAUAUGUGGCCCAGAACCAUUCCUCUUCACUCAAUACAGCUCAGACAAGCCAAAAGGUUGGAUAGCCAUGCUCUAAGGCUUCUGCUCAUCCAGAAGAGACUGCAGGGACUUCAGGUGAUCUUCGCCUCCUGCUGAACCAGAUAGGUAAAAAGGGAAAAGGUUAUAUUCUGAUAUCAUCAGGAGCAAUAUUGGGCAACUUAGGACCUCCUAUAUUUGGCCUAUGACUUUUGCAGGAAGAUCUCCACCCUCCUCCAACAAGAAGUACACUGCCAUCCCUCCUAAAUCCAGGACUCGCAUCAAAAACAGACUGAUGGGAUGCUGUUGUGACAAGAGGAGAGGACAGGAUUGCCCACUGGAUGAGGAGUUGUGGAGCAGUACUCAAGGAAAUCCCAUCGAUCAGACCGAUUCAGCAGAGUGCUUCCAGCAGUUGGGAACUGGAAUUAUGGAGUAGAGAAGGCUAAAUGCAAUCCAAACCCAGGAAGUCAGUUUGGAUCAUAAAUCUGCCAAGCCAUUAUGGAAUCACAGUAUGGUUUGAGUAGGAAGGGACCUUUGAUAGUCAUUGAAACCAACCCCCUGCCAUGGGCAGGGACAUCUUCCAUGAGAGCAGACUGCCCAGGGCUCCAUCCAGCCUGGCCCUGAGCACUGCCCGAGAUGGGGCACCCACAGCUUCCCUGGGCAACUUAUCAAGCCAUCCAAGGAAGCAGAGAGAAAGAAACCUAAGGGAAGGUGCCAGCAGAGCACUGCAAAUAAAAUCAAAGGAGAAGACAGAUUAAAUGUGUUCUGCGUAAUGCAGGCUUGGUUUCAUUCAAGUCCAUUUUGUAAGCAAGAUUUCAUGUUUCCUCUGAGUCUAAAAAUUAAAGCUUGAUGGAGCUAG
ensembl:lncRNA